rnacentral:rRNA from 1 species
GACGAACGCUGGCGGCGCGCCUAACACAUGCAAGUCGAACGGAGUGAUGAUUUCGGUUAUCACUUAGUGGCGAACGGGUGAGUAACGCGUGGAUAACCUGCCUCAUACAGGGGGAUAACAGUUAGAAAUGACUGCUAAUACCGCAUAAGACCACAGCACCGCAUGGUGCAGGGGUAAAAACUCCGGUGGUAUGAGAUGGAUCCGCGUCUGAUUAGCUAGUUGGUAAGGUAACGGCUUACCAAGGCAACGAUCAGUAGCCGACCUGAGAGGGUGACCGGCCACAUUGGGACUGAGACACGGCCCAA